rnacentral:rRNA from 1 species
CUCCCCGGGCGGUGUGACACAAUAGGGGUUCGUGUUUAGGUUGAGGUUUGCCCCCGCGAAGACGUUCGGUGCUUGAGCGGCGGCAGCCCGGACGGCGGCGGCGGCGGCGGGAGACGAAGGGCCUGGCCGCAGAAGAGGUGGGCAGUGGGUAUGGCGAAGGUGUUCGACAUCGGUCGGCGCCGAGGCAGUCGACAGUAACGGCGGACCAGCCGUCACUUACCGAGCCCGCCGUCCCUACCUCCCUCUUAUGCCCUAGGUUAUCCGGUAACGAAGGUCAUGUUUCUUUUUCUUUUAUCUGCCGGUUCGAUCAGUUAGGAUCGACCUCUAUAUUCGAUGGUACCCCCUGUUAAAGCUUGUGUGUUCGCGCUGCUGUUUCCACAAAUGCGACCUCAAGAACCCUGUUUAAUGUCUGUUAAAAAGACUUCUUGCGCAGUAACCAGCACCACCUAUACCUCACCAAAUGUUCCCUCAUAACCUUUUACCCCUUCUCUAACGAGAGUUUUUCGAAGUAGUGUACGGGCCCGAACUACUGUGCGUUAAAUCCUUACUCAAAUUAGUAGAAUACUCCCGGGUUGUAGGUUUAUAAUGGGUCAACCAACCGAUGACGAUACUAUAUCCUGUAGUUGCGUAAUUCGUACCGCCACUUAUAUAAAAACGGGAACACCUUCUUUCUCAAGAGACGAAACUUAUGAACGUCCCACCUUCGGAACUGUUCAUAUAAUGGCUACUUAGGACGCCUGAGUUAACCGUGUGUGCAAAGUUUUAAUAAUUCCCUCAGACACUACCUAAUCUAAUGGAAGUAUUACCUACGUUUCUAGGAUAAAUGGUGGAACUGAACUUUGGACGCUUGUAUAACGACCUGUUCCUGUACCAGGGUUUUUAACCUCUAAAACCAGACAGUUCUGAGAAAGGAAGUUGUUUUUGAAUACAGUGUUAGUUUUAAUAUCCUUGUGGACCUAUGUACGGUGGUCUUAUGUAUCUCUCUAUACUUUAGUGUAGCUUCGUACUACAUAAAUCAAACCCACAAUAUUAAUAUGCCUAUUACCGUCCUCUACUCCCAAUGAGGUUUACACGUGUAUACAGAAGUGUCCUUAAAGAACUCGUACAUGCACUUUUAACCCCUUUUGCUUACGUCCGUUGUUACAGAAGCGUAUAUAGUGUCGUUCAACUCUGUACGUAACUCUAUCGCAAUUCCACACACCUCCAGCUAGCACUCUUUUCUGGAUGAUAUCGACUCUAACAACUACUUGACUUGGUCCAACUAUGACGUCUUCCAAGUGAAUGUCCGGUCCAGUGGUUCUUGGUUUUGAGUUUGAGUCUCGUGGCUCCGGCUUAGCAAAAGAGAUGGUGGACGUCCGUGGGUCUCGUUAAGCUGUAGAAGAGGACGAGGAAGAGUGGAAGGAGGUCACUACUUCUCGAGGUGGAGUGCCUACCACACAGGAUAUUGAUGUUGCCGGCAAGGUAGGGAGGACGGCGUAACUUCUGGGAGGAGUUCUCGGGGUUCAACCGUCUUCUCCUGCCGUGAUCGCUACGCCUACAACUACGUCCGGUACAGAGACCAGACUAGAAGUACAGACUCUCCCUACUGCCGGUACUCUGUGAUAUGUAACGGGACGCGAAGUCAUAGUCGUCGUCCCAGUUCCAGAAGAGCGAGCGACUGUAGAAACCGUGACGUCCGAAGUCACCGUGUGCGGACCUCCUAUCACCAACGUAGCAGCUACCUAUGUUACACCUCAGAGCGUGGCAAUUGGGGAGAGAGUAGAUGCAGAGGUGGUUUCUCCGCCACGUUCUUAUAGCGUCGGGGACCUGACAGCACAUGUUCUGGUUGGAAAAUUGUCCGUUCUGCGCCGCCGACUGAGGACUUCCACACAGACUAAACUCAGGUCGAAACAGCGGUAGCCCGUUCGACGAUCGUCACCGUAGUAAACUUUCGUUCUCAACCUUGUCGCUCUUGGAGUUCUGACUGUAGAUACACUACUUGUACCUAUCACUCCUCCCGGACCCUGCGUUCGAUGAGUAGCUCUUACCACCCACCGGUAGGACCCCGUCACUGUUGUAGGAGAAGAAGGUAUCUCCGUGGUCGUCAAAGUAAGUUACCGCGUUGUACCAAGUUUGUUGAACCCCGCACAAGGCCAUGUUGUAGUCGUGGUUUCUCUGAGAGGCUCACUGAAGUCUCUACAGCUUACGCCACUGAGGUCGUCGGUAGUCACUCUGGUUCCAUCGACACCGCUGGUAGGCGGCCGGGGAUCAGCCGUCACGAGGGUACUACCGUGUCAUGGCCGUGUAACUCUAGAAGCUAUACUUACCCGACGGUGGCCACGUCUAGUGGGUCUGCUACUCCGGCCUUUCGCUGGUAAUGUUGGGGAAGCACGACCUGCCACCACCGGCGUAACCUAUGGUGGCGACGUCCUCACCCUCACUGGAACAUGUCGCGCAUCUGGUACAGGGGUCCUUAAACGUGUCCGACCUCAGGGGCCACUUCCUACAACCAAACAAAGCCCACAGGCCACGCAAGGGCCGGUAGAGGUUCCUGCCGAGGUUCGAGCGGAAGUAGCUAUUUCUCAAGUUUCGACACACCUAGCGACUGUCGGUUCCCAACGCGUACCACAUGCUCUGUUCUCUCGGCCUGUCGUAGAAAAGGGGACACACCUUGGUCUUGGGACUGUUCCUGUAGGAGAUGCAAACGUAAUCGUGAUCGUGAUCGUGGAUGAACUUACGAGCUUUCAGCGACCUCUAGAUGCGGUAGUCAUUGCGGAGACCACAGCGCCACGUCGCUGUCCAGGUCUCUGAGUGGAUACCGCCCAAGUUGUUACACAAGGGUAGCUCGUCGGGCCUACCCUUGUUUAAGCAGAAGGUCAGGUGCUCCCUAAAACAACGUCUUUUCCUGUUGAGUGACGUCGUCGUCGUCGUCGUCGUCGCCGCCGCCGCCGGAAAACCCCCCCUUUCACGUAGAGCCGGCUACUCCUUAUAUUCCCUCCUCGUCCUCGUGUUCUUAGACAAGCAGCUAUUUCUCGUGUUCUUGGAUAUGUAUUACGACUUCUGUCUGCUGUUCCCUAGGCUCCUUCCAACCCACUGCGCCGACUGUUUUCCCAGCACCUGUCUGUGGGUGACGGUCACCAGAGGAUCUCCCCUGACCCAGCGGAAGAGCAGCUGCGCACUGUUUGGUCCCCUCUUGUCGUACCGGGGCCCCAGAAAGAGGCACAUGGACCACUUCCGCAUGCUGGGCUGCCACCACUAGUUUGACUAUUUGCUUAAUCUACCGAUGACGCCAGUGCACCUGAUGGGCCACAAGUCGGGCCUACCCUCCUCGUAACGACACUGUUACCUGGACCGCCGUCACGGCCACCUGGCCUUGAGCAACGGCUACAGGUACGUGCCCCGCGCCGGGAUGCCGCAGUAGAAGCACCACUUGUAGUUGGGUCUACUGUUAUUCUACUCUUCGUUCCUACAGUUCACGAAGGCGGCGUAGUGUGUGUCGGCCAUACUCACGAGACGUGACCGCACCUGCAGUCACGGCCGUCUGGGACUUCGCACCACAUCGUAGUACGAUAACGACCGCCUUUACCUUCCCGUGGUGCUACCCGCCCUGCCCGCGGUCUUCCGGUGGAGAAGUAGGGACCCUCCCGAAAGACUAAAUAGAAACGCAGUGUUGGACGUCGAAAUUACAUAGAAGAAAGAAGAAAGAAUUGCCGUGGGACUCGAAAGAAAGAACAGAGCGGCCCGAAAGAACAUAAAGAACCGGUUAAGUGAAGAUGCAGAAGGCCAACAGUGGCGGAGGUGGCAAGAAGCGACAGUAACCCUGCAAUGGCCCGCCAUUCAAGGCAGUCUUAUCUACGAGAAGUCGACCUUCUGUUCGUAUAAGUCAAAACCGUGGACAGAAACGUUGUUCCGGUGACACAAAAGUCAAAGAAGUCAUAACAAGAACGGUUAAGUCUUAUGUACACACCAGUCUGGAACAAACUUGGAUAAACAAAUAAAUAUUUUCACCGGCAUACGUAGCAAGACUAGAUUUUCCGGCCCCUCAGGGGGGAAA